rnacentral:rRNA from 1 species
GACGAACGCUGGCGGCGUGCUUAACACAUGCAAGUCGAACGGAAAGGCCCUGCUUUUGUGGGGUGCUCGAGUGGCGAGCGCGUGUGUAACACGUGAGUAACCUGCGCUUGACUUUGGGAUAACUUCAGGAAAAUGGGGCUAAUACCGGAUAGGAGCUCCUUCUGCAUGGUGGGGGUUGGAGAGUUUCGGUGGUUGGGGAUGGACUCGCGGCUUAUCAGCUUGUUGGUGGGGUAGUGGCUUACCAAGGCGGUGACGGGUAGCCGGCCUGAGAGGGUGACCGGCCACACUGGGACUGAGAUACGGCCCAGACUCCUACGGGAGGUAGCAGUGGGGAAUAUUGCACAAUGGGCGGAAGCCUGAUGCAGCAACGCCGCGUGCGGGAUGACGGCCUUCGGGUUGUAAACCUCUUUCGCCUGUGACGAAGCGUGAGUGACGGUAAUGGGUAAAGAAGCACCGGCUAACUACGUG